GUGCCAGCCGCCGCGGUAAUACCGGCAGCUCAAGUGAUGACCGAUCUUAUUGGGCCUAAAGCGUCCGUAGCUGGCUGCGCAAGUCCGUCGGGAAAUCCACUCGCCCAACGAGUGGGCGUCCGGUGGAAACUGCACGGCUUGGGACCGGAAGGCGCGACGGGUACGUCCAGGGUAGGAGUGAAAUCCCGUAAUCCUGGACGGACCGCCGAUGGCGAAAGCACGUCGCGAGAACGGAUCCGACAGUGAGGGACGAAAGCUAGGGUCUCGAACCGGAUUAGAUACCCUGGUAGUCC
rnacentral:rRNA from 1 species